GUAGCUCAGUGGAAGGGGCAGAGGCACGCACGGAGCGAGCGGUGGCUGUGAGGGGCAGCGCAGGGCAGGGCACCCCCGCUGGAGUUCAGGCCAGCUCCGUGCCGGCGGAGCGGAGAGACCCCAGGUGCCCAGAGCGGGGGAGGGAAUUAGGCAACAAUAAGCAGCCGGCCAAGCCUCUGCAUCCGAGCAGCACCUAGGGCAGGCGGACGGUCCCAAGUGAAGAGCAGCAGCAGCGGUACUAUGGAGCAGGAGAAAUAUCUGCCCGAGCUGAUGGCAGAGAAGGACAGCCUGGACCCGUCCUUUGUUCAUGCAAUGCGCCUCCUGGCUGAAGAAAUUGAAAAAUUUCAGGGUUCUGAUGGGAAAAAGGAAGAUGAAGAAAAGAAAUACCUUGAUGUCAUCAGCAACAAAAACAUAAAGCUGUCAGAAAGAGUACUGAUCCCUGUCAAACAGUAUCCCAAGUUCAAUUUUGUUGGGAAAUUGCUUGGACCAAGAGGAAACUCCUUGAAGAGGUUACAAGAGGAAACAGGUGCAAAAAUGUCUAUCCUGGGCAAAGGUUCCAUGAGGGAUAAAGCUAAGGAAGAAGAACUAAGGAAAAGUGGGGAAGCCAAAUAUUCACACUUGAGCGACGAGCUUCAUGUUCUAAUUGAAGUGUUUGCUCCACCUGGGGAAGCUUAUUCACGUAUGAGUCAUGCCUUGGAAGAGAUUAAAAAAUUCCUUGUUCCAGACUACAAUGACGAAAUCCGUCAGGAGCAGUUGAGAGAAUUGUCGUACUUGAAUGGUUCUGAAGAUUCAGCACGUGGACGGGGCAUUCGUGGAAGAGGAAUCCGGGUACCACCUGCAGCUCCAUCAAGAGGACGUGGGGGUGCGCUUCCUCCUCCCCCACCUGGGCGAGGUGCCCAAACACCUAGAGGGACACCAGUGACACGUGGAGCACUCCCAGUUCCUCCUGUAGCUAGGGGUGUUCCAACCCCUCGAGCAAGGGGAACUCCAGCAGUCCCAGGCUACAGACCACCCCCUCCUCCAGCACAUGAGGCCUAUGAAGAAUAUGGAUAUGAUGAUGGAUAUGGGGGUGAAUAUGAUGACCCAAGCUACGAAGGAUAUGAUAACAGUUAUGCCACCCAAACACAGAGUGUGCCUGAAUAUUAUGAUUAUGGUCAUGGAACAAGUGAAGAUGCUUAUGACAGCUACGCACAAGAAGAAUGGGCCACAACCCGUUCCAGCCUAAAGGCACCACCUCCAAGGUCAGCCCGAGGGGGUUACAGGGAACACCCCUAUGGUAGAUAUUGAAGGUCCUCCUCAUCUGUGACCUCAACUCAAAGACAAUUAAUAGCCUGUGGUCUCCACAUAAACAGCAACAAGACAAGGACACACAGGCAAUGGACAGCUAAGCUGCAGAUGUACUGAGAAGUGUUCAGGUACAGAGCACUUCAUUAUGUGCACGAACAGAAAUGCUUAAACAGAUGAAGAAGCUAUUUGCAUCUGAUAGGAACUAAGUGGGACAUUAAAUUAAUGCCAAACAAGAGACACAUAAGGAGGAUUCCAAUUGAUCAAGGUGAAAAGAGAGGAAAGAAAUCAGCUGGAUUUUUUUCAUACAAGGAAUCUAUAUAGACAGUGCUGGUUGCGCCAGGAGAUUUUCACUAUUCAGUCUGAAGAACAAAAUGAGGUUAAUAAGACUGGAAAGUUGGAAGAAAUGUAAUGACAAGCAAAUCAAAACACAGCAUUUUGAAAGGUCAAAAUGGGACAUUACAUCCUUAUUAUCCCAAGAAUACAAGAGUGUAAUACCAUGGCACUAUUUUCCAGUGAAAAAAGAUUUUAAUCAAGAGCUGAAAAUGGAACAACUUUAUUUCUUUCUUGUGACAAAGAUUAUAACAAGGCUGUGAAAUAAAUCUCUUCCUGUUGUAAUCUUCCAAGUGUGGAUCCUACUUGUAUGUCAAAGACCUAAACUAUACCAAAGAGUUCAUACCCAUAUUAUGCCUUUCAUCAGUAUCUAUAACUAUAUACAGUGGAUAUCUUUUAGAAUUCAACAUUUGCCUUCUGAAAUCACACUUGCCCAUUUUAGCUGACGCAUUGCAUCUCUGUUUUACAUUAGCUCCUUCCUCAAGGUAUGGAGACAUUUUAAAGCAAAGGAAUUUACAGUGCAUCCAAUAGCUUAGUAACAAACUACUAAAUAUAUGAAACUGUCAUGAUCUGAUCUGUCGAGUUUAGUCAUUACACACGUGAAGACUCUUCCUCUAGGACUACAGGUCUGAGGAAACAAAAGCUAAGCUAUAAGAGAAAUGUUACAUUUUUAAACACCUAAACAUACCUUUAAGGUUCCUGUGACCAAGACUAUUUCUAAUUAUUGAGCAAAUAAUGUAAUUAAAAUUAAAGGUAGACACGUGAAAAGCAGAGCUCUUGUUUACUAGCUAAAAACCCCUCUGCUUAUCCAGCUUGAUAUUUGAGGAGUUUGAUACAAUGUGUAGAAUUACAGUUUAGGUGUUAGUAAUGUUAAAAUCUGUUAUGCAAAAACAUUAAAUUCUUUCAAACCAUAACCAGCUUUUAAAUAUUGUUAGUGCUAUUGGUAUGGGUGGAUCCUGCUCAAGAUCUGUCAGGUAAAAAUUAAGAGAAGACAAAGUGAUGUUCAUAUAUGUAUUUUCCAGGGAAAUAUGCCUGAAGAAAUUCCAUCUUCAUGAUACUUUCAAGUCAGCAUCUUGCUGAGGAAAGCCAUUUAGCUUUGGUGGCUUGGACAUGACAGCACCAAGAGAUGUUUGGUUUCCCAUGUUUUGGUUUUAAGUGAACAACCACUCUCUGGUACUUGAGCUUUACCCUAGUCAUGCACAUUACUUUGUCCUCUCUGAUUGCCCUGCCAUAGUUCAGUGAUAAGGAAGGGGGGAGAUCAGGUGACUUGAUCCAAAAAAUUUUUCCAGGCCUUGAGUACAAAAAGUGUUUGUUUGUUUUUCCUUUCCUUGUUGAUUUCCUUUUCCACUAGAGACUGCAGAUGCAUGUCAUCCUUUUUUUUCAGCUAUAAGGUAGAAUAGUUUUUCAAUGUACUCACAAUCUGCAACAUAUUUUGAAAUUUCAAAGAUUUUGCAAAACUACACAUAAAAAAUCCUUAAUGGUUGUUCAUUUCAUAAGUAUCUAUAGAAAUUAAUGUUUUCUUAGUGUCUAAAAAAUUCCGCAAACUGCAGUUUAACGUAUUAUGUCUGGUUCUUUGUAACUUAAGAUAAUUUGUUAGUUAUGAAACUAAAAUUGCUGUACUGAACUCUCCUCUGUAAUAAUGCGCCUACUGUUAA